rnacentral:rRNA from 1 species
UACGAAGGGUGCAAGCGUUACUCGGAAUUACUGGGCGUAAAGCGUGCGUAGGUGGUUUGUUAAGUCUGCUGUGAAAGCCCCGGGCUCAACCUGGGAAUGGCAGUGGAUACUGGCAAGCUAGAGUGCGGUAGAGGGGUGUGGAAUUCCCGGUGUAGCGGUGAAAUGCGUAGAGAUCGGGAGGAACACCAGUGGCGAAGGCAGCAGACUGGGCAUCACCUGACGCUGAGGCGCGAAAGCGUGGGUAGCAAACAGG